UAACGUGAUAGCGAGUGCAUGUAAGCGGAUGCAAGUGCAUGGUGCAAGUAAGUGCUGUGUGCUGCCGGUUCUGCGUGGUUCUGCGAUAGUGUUUUUAGUUCACACCGAUUAUGGAUAAUAAUAAGAGGCCCCACAAAAAAUGUGCUGUACUGGGGUGCACAAGUACCAGGCAGCCGAUAUUCAGCUUCCCCUGUCUGUCGAAGGACAGUGAUAGAUGUUUAAAAUGGCUUGAAGCUUGUGGAACGGAAGAUCUAUUCCAACUCCCUCCAGCCGGUUGAGAAAUCGAGUGGUUUGUGGGGACCACUUCGAAAUUCAUUACCGCAUUGGAUCAAAGCUUACAAGUCAUGCAGCACCAAGCUGCAACUUACCAGCACCUGCCACAUCUAUCGAGCAACAGGAGGAACUUGUAAUGGAAAUUGAAGAAGAAGAAGAAUAUCAACCUGUGCUCACCGUUGAAUACCAGUACAACGUGGGACCUAUGGACGACGUGGGAACUAUGGACAACGUGGGACCCAAGGACUACGUAGGACCUGGGACCAGCAGAGACUCCGACGCACUUGCCUAUAAUGUGCUUCCGGGAUCAUCCAGCGGUUGCACUGUCCAAAGGAAUCAAGUUCAACCAGCUAUCAGAAAAGGCCUUAAAGGUAUAAAAUAUUUUAAAAAAUACUAGAUGUAAUAGUUAAACAUUAAUUAUUGGGGUGGGAGCUUCAUUUUUCGUUAAUAAUUCAAAAAUGAAGCCUCCAACAACAUUUUUGCAAAGGAAAUUGUUGUUCAGAAUCGUGUCAGCUACCCUCCAUUUCCGGUUCUUACAGGAGUUCUGGGACACCCUGUAUAUGCAUUUUUAUAUUAUUGUUGCGUUUGUAUUUUUAUAUAUUUUAUAUGUACGAAUAUGUAUGAGUGUGUGGAUUGUAAUGCAAUCGUAUGUAUGAAUGAAUACAUAUAUAUACGUAAACAUUUAAAACCAGCAAGAGUCACGGUUCUUCGACUAAGAUCAUGAGUGAUCAUGUUCUUAGGCGCAAAGCCACGAUUUUCGCUGAUUUUAAAUGUUUACACUUUAUUAUGUGAAUAUAUAUGCAUUUUUAUAUUAUUGUUCUGUUUGUAUUUUUAUACAUUUUAUAUGAACGUAUAUGUAUGAAUGUUGAUAUUAUGUUAAUCAAUAUAUUUUUUGUAUAUAUAUUUUAUACAAUUGAAUUUUAGAUUCUUUAUUGUUUUUUCAAUGUUUUCCGGUGAUAAUAAAUUUAAUUUUGUAUAAGUUGUGUUUUUUUCCCUAUAAUUAUUUUUUUAUUUAGAUUAAUUUUAAAGCAAGUAUAAAUACACAUACGUGGUACCAUACCGUUGUGUGUGUGUCUCACGGAUUAUAUGUAUGUAGUAGUAACGACACUGGACCAUCAUCCGCGGCGGGGCGUAUUAAAUACACAUACGUGGGACCAUACCGUUGUGUGUGUGUCUCACGGAUUAUAUGAUUGUGUAGUAACGACACUGGCGCCAUCAUCCGCGACGGGCGCGUGUUAGAUUGGGCUUCAACGCUAAAUACGGGAGCUUGUGGGCCCUGGAUCAAUCGUAAUCGAACCUCUGGUAACGAACUACGAAACGAUUUAAACCAAACGAGUCGACUGAAUAAACGUCUUUGCUUUUUCCUAAAAGUAUUUCGAAUUUUUAUUUCACGCGCCUCUCCGGGCAGAGCGGUUCAGCGCUCCACGGGCACCUUACUUACGUCAGAAAAUGCCCUAUCACCGCACGACGCGUUCCACAACAAGAGCUAACUUUUAUUAUUUGUCACAAUUCAAUUUAUAUUGUAUUUAUCCAAUUUUAUAUGGAAAAGAAUCUGAAAGUAACUUACUCGACAA